rnacentral:rRNA from 1 species
GACAGAGGAGGCAAGCGUUGUCCGGACUUACUGGGCGUAAAGCGCAUGUAGGCGGUUGUGUAAGUCCGCUGUUAAAGCCCCCGGCUCAACUGGGGGAGGUCAGUGGAGACUACUCGACUUGAGGGCAACAGAGGCACGUGGAACUCCCGGUGUAGCGGUGAAAUGCGUAGAUAUCGAGAGGAACACCUGCGGCGAAGGCGGGUAGCUGGGCCGACACUGACGCUGAUGCGCGAAAGCCAGGGGAGCGAACGGG